rnacentral:rRNA from 1 species
UACGUAGGGCGCAAGCGUUAUCCGGAUUUACUGGGCGUAAAGGGCGCGUAGGCGGUCAGCACAAGUCAGUUGUGAAAUCUCCGGGCUUAACUCGGAAAGGUCAACUGAUACUGUGCGACUAGAGUGCGGAAGGGGCAACUGGAAUUCUCGGUGUAGCGGUGAAAUGCGUAGAUAUCGAGAGGAACACCUGCGGCGAAGGCGGGUUGCUGGGCCGACACUGACGCUGAUGCGCGAAAGCCAGGGGAGCGAACGGG